AGAAACUAAGGCUCAGAAAGAUGCUUUGCCCAACAUCAGCUCAUCAGUACCGUUAACUCGAUGUUCCACUCUUGGAAGCUUUCAUCUGGUAGCCCCAUGAAACUGAAGAAUAAAUACAACAAAUUGUUCAGCUUAUAGAGUAGCACCCUCAGAAAUUAUGAAGCAGCAAAGCCAAAUCUCCAAACAUGUGAAGAGUUCUGUG